AUACGGAGGAUGCAAGCGUUAUCCGGAUUUAUUGGGUUUAAAGGGAGCGCAGGCGGAGAUGCAAGCGUGACGUCAAAUUUCGGGGCUCAACCCCGUCUCGCGUCGCGAACUGCGUCCCUUGGUUGCGGGAAGGGGAGGCGGAACUCGUGGUGUAGCGGUGAAAUGCAUAGAUAUCACGAAGAACUCCGAUCGCGAAGGCAGCCUUCCGGCCCGUCAACGACGCUCAUGCUCGAAGGUGCGGGUAUCAAACAGGAUUAGAUACCCUGGUAGUCCGCACAGUAAACGAUGGACACCCGCGGUUUGGCCUGUAUGGCUGAGCCGCCAAGCGAAAGCGUUAAGUGUCCCACCUGGGGAGUACGCCGGCAACGGUGAAACUCAAAGGAAUUGACGGGG
rnacentral:rRNA from 1 species